rnacentral:rRNA from 1 species
GACGAACGCUGGCGGCGUGCUUAACACAUGCAAGUCGAGCGGUAAGGCCUUCGGGUACACGAGCGGCGAACGGGUGAGUAACACGUGGGUGAUCUGCCCUGCACUCUGGGAUAAGCUUGGGAAACUGGGUCUAAUACUGGAUAUGACCUCAUGCUGCAUGGUGUGGGGGGGAAAGAUUUAUUGGUGCAGGAUGGGCCCGCGGCCUAUCAGCUUGUUGGUGGGGUAAUGGCCUACCAAGGCGACGACGGGUAGCCGGCCUGGGAGGGCGACCGGCCACACUGGGACUGAGACACGGCCCAGACUCCUACGGGAGGCAGCAGUGGGGAAUAUUGCACAAUGGGCGGAAGCCUGAUGCAGCGACGCCGCGUGAGGGAUGACGGCCUUCGGGUUGUAAACCUCUUUCAGUAGGGACGAAGCGUGAGUGACGGUACCUACAGAAGAAGCACCGGCCAACUACGUGCCAGCCGCCGCAGUAACAC